GCCGCCCGCCCCCGUUGCCAUGGCCGUGGCGAGGCCGCGGCACCGGAGCCGAGCCCGAGGGGCCCCGGCCCUGGCGCCCCCUUCUCGGCCGCGGGGCGGCUCCGCCAUUUCGCGGCCGGGGGCCGGUAACCGCCGUGCGCCGCGCCAUGAGGAGAGUUGAAAUGAAUGUGCUGCCUCAAGCAGUCAUACAAAGCCCAUGGGAGCAUCCCAGGUUCAUAGAGCAGACCAUUUGCCCACCGUUAGACUUUGCAAGGAUUCAUUUGAUCAAAGACAAAGAUGGCAUAGAUGAUUAUUUGGCGAAGAAUAUCAAAGGGUUGUCAAAACAAGAAGCUGCUGCUAACAGGAAUUCAUACAAGGAGAACAUCUGCAUAGACAUGCUGCGACAGGGUUAUCACAAGUCCUUCUCCGAGCUCUUCACUCUGAUACAGAAGUGGAAUGCCUUGAGGGAGGCUGCAGGGCCUGGGUCAGCCAUAUGGCAGCAGAAGUCCCUGGAGGAGCAGCCUGAUAAGCUGGAUCAGCUUUACCACUUCCUGACCAGGGCUGAGGCAGCCCAGCGAGCAGGGCACUAUGGGGAGGUGUAUGAUAACCAGCUUAACUUGGCCUACUGUUUCAAUGACCCUGAGGAUGAAUGGUUAAGGAAUUACUUUUAUGAACGAUGCUUUAACACUGCUCAACUAAUAAAAACUGAUGGCGGGAAAAGACGAGCACAAGCACACGCACACGCGGGCCUCAUCAGUGAGGAACAAGGUCAUGUCAUGAAGGCUGCUGAGCAUUAUGAAGCAUUUUAUCAAUUAACAGAGGGCUCAACAUGGAAGGAUGAGGCAGGCCGUACUUACAAUUCACUGGCAUGUGAGCACCUUUGGAGAAUUUAUACAUUACUAGCAGACAAAAUGCUAGAAAACAAGGAACAAGAACAGGCCAUCAAAAUGCUAAGAAAAGCUUUCAUAAUGACAAAAGCAGGAGGUGAUAAAAAGAUGGAAGGAGAGGCUGCAUAUUGCUUAAGUUGGGCGUAUCAUUUUGCUGGAGAAGAAAAGACAGCAUUAUCAAUUUUGAACACCUCUGUAAAAAUCUUCACAGCACUGUGUGAUUCUUCUGGCCUAGGAAGAGCAUAUGAAAUGAUAGCCAAGAUCCUCGUAAGUCAAGGAAAAGUGGCUGAAACUCUUACGUCCUUGGAAGAGUUUAUGAAGGUUGCUGAGGAUGUGCAUCUAAGCCAAAGCCUGGUGGAUGCAUGUGUAUUGCUUGGGAACAUUUACAAUGAAAGAGGGAACUACAAUAAAGCUUUUGAAUAUUUCACUAAAGCUUUUGAGGCAGCAAGCAUUUUAAAUAAUUUGCCCUUAGAGGGGGAAACAAAGACUUACUGUGGCAUUGCGAAGACUCAUAAACUGAUGGUGGCGUUUAACAGCUAUAUAGAAGCAGAAGAUCCCGUCAGCCUCAAGUACCUGCUGGCAUGGAAGGAGAACAGAAGUGACAUGUGCACUGACCCUCUCACAGUCGGCCUAGAAACCCAUUCCUUCCUGCAGCUGCAUGGGGCCUCUGAAGGACAGCAUCCUUCAUCGGUUCUCAUCCCAGCCUCGUCACUCAGUCAAAGACUGGAGUGGCAGGGUGACAUCUUUUACGUUACGAGGCGAGCUUGAUAAAGAAACAAGUGAUUCGGAGCCCCUGUGAGCCUCUUCCAGAGACAAGAAUUCUAGAGAACACCUGCUUGCUUACAGAGCAGCUGAUAGAUGUCUAUUAUAAAAACUGGAAGAUCCUUGAAGACUCACGUAACAAAGUAAGGAUUUUGGUGGAAAUUCUGUCAUUUAAGUGGGUACACAGUGGUGCAGUAUAAAUACCUGAGAGCUCUAAGUUCUUGUCUGUCUAAGGGUGGCCUCAUCUUUUUUAUGAAAAGUAGCUAGUGUCAUUGACAUAAAUACAAAAGGAAAAGAAUAAUACAGAACAGGAUGUCUGUUGUUUGUGCCACUAAUGCUUGUUGUGUUCCAAAGUGUCGAGAUCCUCCCAUUAAGAUACCAAACAUCCUUUAUGCCUGCUGAAGUAAACGUGAAUCCAAGAUGCUCAAUACCUUGGAAGAUCAAUUUCUAAAUGUCUGGAAUAUUUGCUUUAAAUCCCUAAUUAUUGUCCUAUUCAGGAAAAACAAACAAACAAACAAAAAAACUACAAGCUUGAUGCCUUAUAUCUAGAACUAUCAGUGAUUUUUAGCUUCUGUGCUUAACAGUUGUGGUUCAACAAUGACCUGAACAGAAUAGAUCCAGCCUGGGUGGCCCACUGUGGUGCAGUUUUGAUCUUGUCUAUAAUGCAGGUCAGACCCAAACACAACUAAGUUUCUUUAAAAUCUGGUUGAGCACACUUAAGAAACUGCUGAAAAUCUGUACAACCAAAGCAUUUGAAAUGCCAUUGACUGUCUCAAGUGAAACAUCAAUCUAUAGGCACAGCUGAAAUGAGUAUAUUUAAUAGUGAAAGUGCAUCUAGCAGAAUACCUGUAUGUCACCAUUUCAACACGGAAAAUGAAAUUUCCCUUUUAGUAAAGACUGUGUUCAUUCACACAAUCUGGAAAAGUAAAAAUCUGCUUGGGCUCUUUCUGAUAAAUAAUCUGAAGCCCCGAUUAUAGAGGGUGUGUGGAGAAUUGUCUCCUGUUUUGAGGUGCUGACAUUCCUGGCUGUGUGUUCCACCCAUCACCCGCAGCAGUCUGACUCCUGUGGUCUUCACCAUUCUCAGGGGGCAUUUCCCAGCCACUGUCACUGCUGGCCCCAAGAACAGUUAAAGGACAGAAGGUGGUGGUUAUUGACUCACAAAAUAUAUGGCGAGACAGGAUUUGGAACCUUUGGAUUUUAUUUAGGAAAAUUCAUGCAAGCUUUUUCAAUUUCAUAUAUUAGAAAAUCUUUCUUUUGAGCUACAUAAACAAAGCAUUAUGAAUCCCAAUAAUUGAUCUUUCCUGUCUUUAAACGGAGGUUUCCGGAGUCAGAGUUUGAAGCAAGGUCCAUUAGACCUGUAAUCAGUUUUUAUGACAGUCUUUGAGCAAGCAAUAGCUUUUGCUAUAGUAAUAACUCAAUUCACUGGUUUUCUUCAGGGUUGCGAUUUGAGUAACUGGUUGACACGUGACAAUAGGAUUUCUCCCUGUUAAGGCAUGGUGAAAAAUACAUCAUUAACUAGCUCUUAUUAGAUCAUUUUUGAUGAAGAUGCUGUGUGCUUACAAUGUAAACAAAUACCUGUAGCAAUACUUUUAUUCUUUUACUUAGAGGUCUUUAUUUUCUGAACACAAGGCUCAUGACAACGAUUUUAAUUUAGAAUGUUUCUAGAAGGAUAAAAACUUGUAUAAAAAUGUUCCUACACAAAAUUAUGCACAUACUUAAGCAUACAAAUUUACUAAGUGUUAAAGAAGGUAAACAUUUAAUGAAUACAAGGAAGGGGAACAGGACCAUGAAUUAAAUAUAAACAAUAACAGUAUACAGUUUACCCCUCAUAUUUUAAUGCUGUUGAUGUGAAAGACUAAAAGUACUAGAAAAACAAUACAGCAACUGGAAAUAACACCUGAAAAUCACAUUAAUAUGCAAACUCUUCUAGUCCUGAUAAAACGUGGCAGAGCUUCUUUAACAUGAUGCUGAUUUUAGAUAUUUGUAAUUUCUUUUAUCAGAAAGUUGUUGAAAAGAAUGGGGUAUGUGAAUUUAUCAUUCAUAGUGGGGAAAAAACAUAUAAAAAAUAUUGUAUACCAAGCUGACAUUCUAGAAAAGCUGAUUAUCAUUUUUUCAAGGGCAAGCUUCUAAAUUCUUAUGGGUUUUGAACCUUAUGUACAUUUUUACAUAAGGUUUUACAAAAAUUAUAUGUAUGCAUACCAAAAGUUGUUAUGCAUCUAUAUUAAAUAGCAUCCAUGAUCAUCAGUAUUCUUUGCAAAUCUGAACUCAUUGCUAAGUGGUAAGUUUUGUAUGCUGGUGAGAAAAUGGUCACAAAUUCUUCCUCUAAAGCAUUAGCUCUCCCAUACUUCUGAAAAAUACUUGUUAGUCACAAAGCUUUUAAUAAAAAUAAGGGGAUUUUUAUCAUCCUAUAAUGAUGCAAAUACAAGCUGUGUUCUUCAGUCAGGAAGCUCCUGGAUAAAAUGUUGUUUAUUGAGCUAAAUGUACCUGCCUCCCAUCCCAGUAACUAUUUGUCUGACGAGUAGCUGUCUGGCUGGCAGCAUGUAGCUAUUGUUCUGCUCCUUGCGGACUUUUUUAGUGGAAAAACAAUGGCUGUGCUUUCCACUUCCAAUCAAUGGGGCAAGGUGGUUAGACAGAGAGUAGUUCCAUACAUUAUAAUUUGGAUGGGUUCCUGGAUUGAGCCUCUCAGCUGUUAGAAACAGUCAGAGCUCUGUGGCUAGUGGACAGGCCUCAUCCUAAUAUCCCACAUGCUCCGGCUGAAAGCACAGCUCUCACCACUGCUUGGCUGAGCUAGUGACUCACCGCUACUUCAGAAAGAUUGCCACUGACUGAAUUACCAGUGCCUCUUCCAACGCCACUUGCCUUUGGUGAUCUCUUGCCAGACAUAGUCCUGCUGCUCAGAUACUCAUGAGAUCAGAACUCCAAUUAGUUCCAAUUAGGGAACUUUGGUUCUUCCUCUCUUUAUGUGAGGGAGACUGUGAUUUCUUUAAGGAGCUCCUCAUAUGGAACAGAAUCUUUUUCUGCUCUGCCGGGUUCAUUAUCAUUGCUACUGUUCCUCCACGUUUUUCUAAAAAGCCUCUAAUUCCCUUUCCUUCAAAACAUUAUGAUCAGAAAAGAAUACUCAUGAGAGAGGUAGAACCAAGUUGCAGGCUUUUCUGUGCGCUAAGAAAUUAUAGGAAUAGUUGGCUUUAAUGAAGUUAGGAAAGCAGGUAAAUCAAUGUAGAUCGUAAUGCCAGUUGUCUGUUUCAAAACAGAGACUUGUCAAACACAUUAUAGCAGAUCAGACUCUGAAUAGUUCUGAAGUGGUAAUAUUGAUGUCUUUAAAAUCUGAGUAAUGCGUCUGCCUGUGGUAUGUGAGACCUCGCAAUUAAGACUGCUUUUGGAAUAGGAUUUUAGAAGGUUUUGCUGUUAGAUCUAUCUGAUGGUAUUGAUUAACAAUUCCUAGCAGAGGGUAAGCUUGUACCUCAGAAAGGAUUCUGUUUAUAAUUAUGAAAAGCAUGUUUUCUAAUCAUUAAUAAGGUAUAUCUUGUUAAUUAUGAUGAUAUAUAAGGUAUUUCACCAUUUACCUGUGAACCCAUUUGGAAAAUUAAUGUUUGAGUCACAGAAAGGUCAUUGCUAUUCUGGAAGGGAUCCAAUCAUCUCUAAAUAGACCAUCCAAAUGUAGACUAAGAAAUACACUAUAUAUAAUUACCUAGAAAUAGAUGGAAUAAAUAAGAUUGAUGGUAGAUAUUACUAAAGCCACAUUUUAGUUUCCUGCUAGGAAAAAGUAGACUAACUGAAAGAAACAAUAAUAUACAUGUAAAAAUGCAAGAAAUAGGGUAAAGUCAUAAGUAGGUAUGUAAGACUUGGCUAUUACAUGAGGUCAGAACUCAGCAGCCUUCAGAAAUGGUGUACAUCAAGGAUUUUGUCUUGAGAUUUCAUGAAAUGUUUCUGAAGACAACAACUACAAAGAAGAGAAUGAGGACUUUAAAGAAAAAAUAAAACUGUGUCUUGUUUGACAUCAUUUCUCUAUAAUAUCUUUGUAUUUUCUACAUGUAUGCCUACAGGUAAAUAAAAUGUGCUGUCUUUGAAGGUAAACAAAUAAACAUGUUAAUGAA